ACAAAGGGAAAUAAUACUCCUGCUGAAGUUUUCAAGGAAUGUACCCAUUUUCAGGAGACUGAAAGUUGUGGAACCAUAAUCUGUGACAUCAGUUGUUUUUUUGAUAAGCAGCUAUUUAUGAUUCUGGAAGAUUAAGGCAGUUAGGAAACCCCCCAUUUGAGAUUUUAACCAGUCUCUCAAACAAUAAACCACAUCAUGGACAUACAGCUGGACCCUGCCAGAGAUGACCUGCCUCUCAUGGCCAACACCAGCCACAUACUUGUGAAGCACUAUGUACUGGAUUUGGAUGUGGAUUUUGAAAGUCAAGUCAUUGAGGGGACCAUAGUGCUUUUCCUCGAGGAUGGAAACAGAUUCAAGAAACAGAAUAGCUCCAUCGAGGAAGCCUGCCAAUCAGAGUCAAACAAAGCCUGCAAAUUUGGGAUGCCUGAACUCUGCCGUAUUUCUGUGGCAAAUGCAAGGACCUUCUCAUCUGAAAUGGAAUAUAAUGAUUUUGCAAUCUGUAGUAAAGGUGAAAAAGAUACUUCUGAUAAAGAUGGUAACCAUGACAACCAGGAACAUGCUUCUGGGAUUUCUAGCUCAAAGUACUGCUGUGACACAGGGAAUCAUGGGAGUGAGGAUUUUUUGCUAGUGUUGGACUGCUGUGAUUUAUCUGUGUUAAAAGUCGAGGAGGUGGAUGUUGCUGCUGUGCCAGGUAUGGAAAAAUUUACAAGGUCUCCCAAGCUCACAGUUGUUUCUGAGGAGCUCAGGAAUCAGAUUGUAUAUGAACUUGUGACUUUGCCUGCAGAUUGUUGGAGGGAGCAGUUAGACUAUUAUGCUUGCUGCAGCCAGGCUCCUGGCUGUGGAGAACUCCUCUUUGACACUGACAGUUGGAGCUUACAGAUCAGAAAGACAGGGGCUCAGACAGCUACUGACUUUCCUCAUGCUAUCAGAAUAUGGUACAAAACUAAACCUGAAGGGCGAUCAGUUACAUGGACCUCAGACCAGAGUGACAGGCCAUGUGUUUAUACUGUGGGAUCACCCAUAAACAACAGGGCCCUUUUUCCAUGCCAGGAGCCACCCGUUGCCAUGUCAACAUGGCAGGCUACAGUUCGAGCAGCUGCAUCUUUUGUUGUUUUAAUGAGUGGGGAGAAUUCUGCCAAGCCAACACAGCUUUGGGAAGGGUGCUCGAGCUGGUAUUACUAUGUAACUAUGCCAGUGCCAGCCUCCACCUUCACAAUUGCAGUGGGAUGCUGGACAGAAAUGAAGCUGGAGACAUACUCAUUAAAUGAUUUGGCAACAGAGAGACCCUUCUCACCUUCUGAGGCCGACUUCAGGCAUAUUGGUGUUUGUAGUCACAUGGAAUACCCCUGCCGCUUCAAGAACGCUUCUGCCGCCACCCAGGAGAUCAUUCCUUAUCGGGUCUUUGCCCCCGUGUGCCUCAAGGGUGCCUGCCAAGAGACCCUUCUGCGGCUGAUCCCUCCUUGCCUCUCAGCAGCACAUUCUGUUCUGGGAACACACCCGUUCUCUCGGCUGGAUGUUCUCAUCGUCCCUGCCAACUUUCCAAGUCUGGGGAUGGCCAGCCCACACAUCGUGUUCCUCUCUCAGAGCAUCUUGACAGGAAGGAGCCAUCUCUGUGGGACCCGCCUCUGCCAUGAAAUUGCCCAUGCCUGGUUUGGCCUAGCCAUUGGGGCCCGCGACUGGACGGAGGAGUGGCUGAGUGAAGGCUUUGCCACUCACUUGGAGGAUGUGUUUUGGGCUGCGGCACAGCAGCUGGACCCACGUGAGGCCCGGGAGCAACAGGAGCUGAGGGCUUGCCUGCGCUGGCGUCGCCUCCAGGACGAGAUGCGGUGCUCCCCUGAGGAGAUGCAGGUGUUAAGACCCAGUAAAGACAAAACUGGCCACACAAGUGACUCAGGAGCAUCUGUUAUCAAGCAAGGACUCAAUCCGGAGAAGAUCUUCAUGCAAGUCCAUUAUUUAAAGGGCUACUUCCUUCUUCGGUUUCUUGCCAAAAGACUUGGAGAUGAAACCUACCUUUCGUUUUUAAGAAAAUUUGUGCACACAUUUCAUGGACAGCUCAUUCUUUCCCAGGAUUUCCUUCAAAUGCUGCUGGAAAACAUCCCAGAAGAAAAAAGGCUUGGGUUGUCUGUUGAAAACAUCUACCAAGACUGGCUUGAGAGUUGCGGAAUACCAAAGCCGCUGCAGAGGGAGCGCAGCGCCGAGGCGGAGUGCGGGCUCGCGCGGCAAGUGCGCGCCGAGGUCACGAAAUGGAUUCAAGUGAACCGGAGACCCCGAAAACGGAAACGCAGGGUGAAGGAAGAGGUGUUUGAAAAGCUUCUUCCAGACCAACUGGUCUUGCUUCUGGAGCAUCUCUUGGAACAGAAGACCCUGAGCCCUCGGACUCUACAAAGCCUCCAGAGGACAUACCACCUCCAUGAUCAGGAUGCAGAGGUUCGUCAUCGGUGGUGUGAACUCAUUGUUAAGCACAAGUUCACGAAAGCCUACGACAGUGUGGAGAGGUUCCUUCAGGAGGAUCAGGCCAUGGGGGUGUACCUCUACGGGGAGCUGAUGGUGAGUGAGGACGCCAGACAGCAGCAGCUUGCCCGCAGGUGCUUCGAGCGGACCAAGGAGCAGAUGGAUAGGUCCUCAGCCCAAGUGGUGGCCGAAAUGUUAUUUUAACGAGGGUCUUGCUACAUUGCCCAAGCUGGACUUGAACUCCUGGCCUUAAGUACUUCUCCUGCUUCAGCCUCCUGAGUAGCUGGGAUUACAGAAUGGAUCAUUGGCUUUAAAAAUGAGGAUUAUCAAGAUUCAAUUUUUCAUCCUACCAAUGUUUCAUCAAGAAAAGAUGAAACUGACAAAUCAGAGAAUUUUCUGACUCACAAGACGAAGACAUCUGCUCCAGAGAAAGUGGGCUAAACUGUAAAUAAAGACAAAAAAUAUGAGGAAAGCUAUUUUUCCCUUGCCUUUAAAGAUGUUAAUGAUUUAUUUAAUUGUGUCUUAUGCAACAAUAUUUAAAAUACUAUUAUAGUGCAAAUUAAUUGCCACAUCAGUUUGAGAUCAAUCAUUCAGAGUCUAAAGAAAAAAAAUAAACAAUUUAAAUGUAGAUGUGAUAAAUUAGUAUGUCACCAACAGAACUGUAAUUCUGCCUUACAAUAGAAUCUCUGGGCUUACUGUAUUGCUUGUAGUUGUCUGCUAACAGCUCUAACUAAGCAGAGAAGAUCUUUUAUAUGAAAGUUGGCCACACACACAAGUGGUAGGGAAGCACUAUUUUGAAUCUCCUGGUUCUUCCUGGAACAACCAUGUUGAUGUUUGUGCUGAUAGUGCAAAAGCAACAGUGGGUAACACAGCUGCAUCUCGGCAGGAAUCAGAGCAGAGACAGUCCUCAUGCUAGUCUUCACCGCCACACACACACAGUCGAAACACCACGUUUUCACAUACAAAUGCUUGAUGAAGCAGUAUAACAUACUGAUUUUAUUAAACUGUUGCCCUCAAGGAUACUUUUAGAGAAGAAUUCCAUAUGGUGAAAAGGAAAGUGUGCAUAAAGCACUUCUUUUUUUUUUUUUUUUUUAAUAAAUGAGAACUUCUUAUGUUGCUCAGGUUGGCCUUGAACUCAUAGCCUCACCUCCUUAAGCACCAGAACAACUGGCUGGAGCCACCACGGCUCCCAAAGCACUUCUGCUUCAUAACAAAAAACGAUGGUUGUCUGGAGAAAAGCACUCCACUUGUAUACCUGCACAACUCUUUCAGCUGGGUCUCACCUGACCACUUUUUGUCAUGAAAACUGACUUGAAAGAAUGACUAGCAGAUAAGCAGUGGUUAGUCACACUUUGGGGUUAGGCACAAACUUUCUCAAUAAUUAGCAAAGUGACUCAGUCCACUAAGGAAAAUGACAGUGUUUGCAGCCCAUAAUAAAUUUUAGCUUUUAAGCAGAAAUUAGAAUCCUGGAAAAUCUAUGUCCACCAACAUAAGCCUCAGAGCUUCCCAAUACUUAAAGUCAUUUCUGAUGAGAUCCGUGGUGACAGUAAUGAAUGUAGGUUUUGAUACUGCAUAAUGAAAUAUGUCAAUGUUUGGAAGAUACAUAUAAUGUAUACAUAAUAUACAAUAAACUAAGAUUUUCCACAUGAACCAUGCGUAAUGCUACAAAAUUAUACGUAGGCAAAAAAGAUCCAUUGCAAGUGCAAGACAGACCAAUGGGUUUUAAUGUAAUAUAUUAUAGAAAGUUAAACUGACAUAAUUUCAGAUUCCAUACUGCAACUAACCUUUAAAAAAUGACCAUUUUCAAAUUUUGGUGAGCUAUCAAAGCAGAAUUAUCCACAGUGAUCUGUGAUGGCUAUUAGAAUACUCCUGCCUUUCCCAACUACUAACUAUGUGGGGCUGGAUUUUCUUCAUACACUUCAACCGAAAUAACACAUCCCACCAGAAGCAGAUAUGAGAAUCCAGCAGUCUUAGGGCAGAAAAUGAGACUUGCAAAAUGUAAAACCAAUGCUGCUCUUGUCAAACUGUUUCUUUUUUGCUUUGAAAAGAGCAUUUUUUUCAUAAAAAUACACUAUUUGUGUUAACAUGUAAUCAAAUUAUUUUUAUUUUUUAAAUGAAGAAAUAAAUUUUUAAAAAUUUGUUUUAGUUUCAAAUAUGGCAAGAUUUUUUUUAAAACUCUUGGGAAUGUAUGAACACAAAGAAGGAAACAAUAGACGCUGGGUCUACCUGAGAAGGGGUAGGAGGAGAGAGAGGAGCAAAAAAGGUAACUAUUGGGAACUAGGCUUAAUACCUGGGUGAUGAAAUAAUAUGUACAACGAACCCCCAUGACAUGUGUUUACUAUGUAACAAACCUUCACAUAUAUCCCCAAUCCUAAAAUA